rnacentral:rRNA from 1 species
UAGAACUGUAAUUUUUAAAUCUUGAUUAGUAAUAGUUAUGUUCUUUAAAAUUAAAAAAUUUGGCGGUAUUUUAGUCAAUUCAGAGGAACUUGUUUUGUAAUUGAUAAUCCACGAUAAGAAAAACUUAUUUUUUUAGUUUGUAUAUCGUUGUUUAGAAUUUCUUUUUUAGGAUAAUUUUCAAUUGUUUUAAUUAAAAUAAAUUUCAGAUCAAGGUGCAGCUUAUAAAUAAGAAUAAAUGAGUUACAAUAAAAUUAUUUUUGGUUAUUUAUUUUAAAUUUUAAAUAUAAAUGGGAUUUGAUUGUAAUUAAAAGUAUUUUCUUUUAAUGAUCUUUGUUCUAUAAUAUGU